CUCACGUGAAGAUUUGUCCUAAAUUUCUAGUGAAUUCAUUCUUGAUACGCUGCCUGACCUGCUGAGUUCCUCCAGCACUUUGCGUUUUGCUCAAGAUUACCGCAUCUGCAGUUUCUUGUGUCUCCAUUUGGUUUCCGCCAUCUUGUCGUGGACUAUAUAAUCAUCAUGGCGGUGAAAUAAUUUAAGAUGUGAUUUGCUGAUAGGCGGCACAGUGGCACAGUUGGAAGAGCUGCUGCCUCACAGCACCAGAGACCUGGGUUUGAUCCUGACUAUGGAUGCCGCCAUAGAGUCAGAUAGCGUGAAAACCGGCCCUCAGGCCCAACUUGCACACGCUGACCAACAUGCCCAAUCUACACUAGUUCCACCUGCCUGUCUUUCCGGAGUUUGUACUUUCUCCCUGUGACCACGUGGGUUUUCCCUGGGACACGUGGGUUUGUCCUUUCAUAUUCCAAAGACAUGUGGUUUGUAGGUUAAUUGGCUUCUGUAAUUGCCCUUAGAAUCUAGGGUGGCAAACGUACAACUGGUGUGAAUAGGUGAUCGAUGGUUGGUGUGGACUCAGUGGGUCGAAGGGCCUGUUUCCACGUUGUAUCUCUAAACUAAAA